AUGAGUUUUAUUUCAUCACACCAUCAAUUGAAAAGGUGGAGAAAACUCCAACUCUCACAUUACCUUUCUUCUCUAAAUUGGUUUCUGCUGUCGCUUCUGUUUGUUUCAUUUACUCUAACAUGCAUUCAGUUUUGGCCCAUGGUUCCUUCCUAAGAGUUGUAGCCCUUGAAAAACUAAUCAGUUUAGCCUAAAAAAUCACUCAAUUUGGAUCCGUAUUCUAGGAGAUAUUCCCUUCUGAAACUGGCUGCUGCUGUUGCGUUCUAUCCCGGUUAUUGUUAUUGUUUGCGGCUGUUCCUUUUGUCAAUCUCGGUAUUCUUUGAUGUCUUGUAUUCUGGUUGCUCCUACUCUUGAUUGAUUUAGAAUCUUGAUGCUUUGAAGUACCAAAUCAGAUAUUUGCAAGGUAUAGAACUUCAAGCCUAAUGUAUUACUGUUUUUCUUUAGUUAAUUUUUGAUAGUUUCAGCCUAAAUCAAUUUGCUAAUUAAUUUAAAGAUUUGUAUUCAUAAAAUCAUAUUUUCUCAUUUUUCAAAGAAGGGAUUUUGAUAAUAUUUUCCAAUAGAAAAUUAUUGUUAUGCUAAAUAAUAUUACUAUAGAGUUUAUUGGAAUCCGUAUUUAAAUUAGUAAUAGUGGGUGAUCAAUUCCUUAUAUUUUUGUGAGGUGGUAUAUGGAGAUUACUUAAGGAGAUUAAUUCAAGAAGGUGAAUCAAGUAUAUGAUUAUAUCUUGGAGGUUAUAUAUUUUUGUUCUUGAGUUCAUUAAGGAAAUGAUCAGCAUUCGAGGUUGUGUGGAAGCUCGGGUGUGAUUUAAAUGGAGCUUGAUUGUAUUUAAGGAUUUGUAAAUUGUGUGUUAUAAACCAAGGUUGUAUUCAUGUGUGAGAUAAUUUCUGAAUUGUUUGUAAAUUUGAAUGUGAAUUAAAGGUUUAUAUUUA